UUCGACGGAGAGUUUGAUCCUGGCUCAGGACGAACGCUGGCGGCGUGCCUAACACAUGCAAGUCGAACGGGGUCGUUCUUGGUGGCAACACCUUGGACGGUCUAGUGGCGAACGGGUGAGUAACACGUGAGGAACCUGCCCCGAAGACCGGGAUAACAGAAGGAAACUUCUGCUAAUACCGGAUACCCCCACCGAACCGCAUGGUUUGGUGAGGAAAUGGAUUCCGCUUCGGGAGGGCCUCGCGGCCUAUCAGCUAGUUGGUGGGGUAACGGCCUACCAAGGCAUCGACGGGUAGCUGGUCUGAGAGGACGAUCAGCCACACUGGGACUGAGACACGGCCCAGACUCCUACGGGAGGCAGCAGUGGGGAAUCUUGCGCAAUGGGCGAAAGCCUGACGCAGCAACGCCGCGUGCGGGAUGAAGGCCCUCGGGUUGUAAACCGCUUUCAGCAGGGACGAAG
rnacentral:rRNA from 1 species